CUGCAGCUCAAGAAGGAAGAGUGCAGACAGGCACCAUUUCACGAGCAGGGACACCAGGACAACCAAACAGGAAUGCUCAUUGAGAUGGCUGCCCAAAGGGAAGACUUGGAUAUCACAUCCACCAGCAAAUAUCACACAUGCUGUCACAUGAGUUAACGCCUGAGAAAAAUGUGCUUCAGGCAAAGAGGAGAGGGGGUUGAAAAAGAG